GAGCCAUUAGCUCAGUUGGUAGAUUUAAUCAGAGGGUCGAAGGUUCGAGUCCUUCAUGGCUCACCA
rnacentral:tRNA from 1 species